rnacentral:rRNA from 1 species
UACGAAGGGGGCGAGCGUUGUCCGGAUUUACUGGGCGUAAAGAGCGCGCAGGCGGUCGUUCAAGUCGCGUGUGAAAGCCCCCGGCUCAACUGGGGAGGGUCACGCGAUACUGAUCGACUCGAAGGCAGGAGAGGGUAGUGGAAUUCCCGGUGUAGUGGUGAAAUGCGUAGAUAUCGGGAGGAACACCAGUGGCGAAGGCGGGUCUCUGGGCCGAUACUGACGCUGAGGAGCGAAAGCGUGGGGAGCGAACAGG